rnacentral:lncRNA from 1 species
CCUCUGCCUCAGUCUCCUCUUCUGGAAAGUGGGAUUGGAAACCACAUCUGCUUCUCUCCCAGGACUGCUAGGAAGACAAGAUUAGAUGGCAGGAAGGAAAAUACAUGUACAGCCAACUUCCUUGAGGAUUCGUUCUUUUGCAUCAGGGUGUCUCAAACUCCUGCCCUUAAAACACCUGCAAGAGAAUCAUCCAGGUGGCUUGCUCACUCUGCAUGCAGACCCUUUAGAAUCAGAGUCAGAAUCCCUGGGGCUGGAGCCACAAAAUGAAAUGACAUUUCAACAAGUUUGUCAUCACGUAAGAGAGAAUAGCUUGUCUUCUUCUCUCCCAGUAGAUUCUUCAUGAAGAGGCCAUGUGCUAUAUUCCAUGAGAUAUUUCACACUCAAAGAAGACUUCUUUUAUACUCUUUUGAUAAUUUGUCUGGGAAUCACUGUCUUGAUUUAUAAGGGAGUUUGUA